AAGAAGAUUUCUUCUUCUUCGCCUUCUUGGCUUUCUUUUUCUUAUCUUUCUUCUUCUUAUCCUUCUUCUUCUUCUUCUUCUUGUCACUGGAAGAUGACGAGGGAGAGUCAGAAUCGCUG
rnacentral:ribozyme from 10 species